GUAUCCUUGAUCUUAAUUGGU
rnacentral:misc_RNA from 1 species